GCGCGGGCCAUGGCGCAGCGGCGGGCGCGGCCGGAGCCCUGCGGCCCGCCACGAGGGGGCAGCCGUGCGUCUGCGCGCCGCGGCCGGCUGGAACCGGUCUGGCCGGAAGCUGGGGCGGUGCCUCGGCUUCCGCAGCGACGCGCCACGUGGCCGGGUGGCAGGGACCGGGGGAAAACAACAAGAUGGCGGCGGCGGCGGCGGGGGCGGGGCUUUGAGGCCGCGUGCCCCUUGAAGGGCGGUGGUCGCGGGGAAGAGCGGGAUGAGCUGAGUGAUGCUGGGGGGCAGGGGCGACGUGGUGCGCUGUCCCUUUGUCCCGCCGCGGAGCCGCCGGGCGCGGGCAGCCGUGCGAGGCAGUGCGGCCCUGGGCACCCCCCGGGGGUCACCGCGGCCCCAAGCUGCUCAGUCCGGGCCCGGUCCCCUUUGUCCCUGCGGACUGGGACCGGAGAGACCCCUUCCUCGGUCUGGAGGGAGAGGUCAGGUGCUGCCGGUGGAGCGGGCGAGUCCUGGAUGGACCGAAAUGCAUCCUCUCCUCUCUUGCCAGCACUUUGGCCCCCGCUUCCCGCCUUUGUUCCAAGGGUUGGCCCUGACUCCCUCUGGCUGGAGGGAGAACCCCCGGUGAUACAGGCUUGAAAGCAGCGUCCCCGCCUUCGCCCGGGGCUGCGGGCUUCUGCGUGCUUUGCUCGCGGGAGCUGCGCUGCGACCGCGAAGAGGUUUGAGAGAAUUUCCCUCAGCCGCUGCUUUUUGUAUCCACGCCUUCAAGGGUUUCACUUCAGACUCGUCCAUCAUUUUGCAAAGAACGCUGAACGGAGUUUCCAAAGGAUGCUGUAACCUGGAGGAUAAGGACCCUCCCUCCCCUCAGCCUGGGAAAAGAGUACGGUUUCCUUCAUAGCCUUUACUCUAAAGGAGCCUGCCGCAUUGUGUCCUUAUAUUUUGCAGUGAAUACCCCUUUUUUUGGUCUCCUUUUGUACUCAUAAUUCAAAAAGAAUCUCGGGCAACUUUUUCUGCAAAUGCCACUGAGCACAAGAAUUAUAGAGCAUCCUCAGCCCUUAAGUUGUUUGCCUCUAGAAUUUCAUUAGCACUGCCUUCCUGUUGAAAUGAGAAAAUGUAUUUUAAAAUUGAAAUAUCAUUAUAGCAAAUUUGAUUUUUUUUAAAAAACCAGAAAAGUAAUGAGAAGAAAAAAGAAACUGUACUCCAAUAAUUCAGAGAUAUUUGUCCUUCUUGGCAUAGAUUUGUUUGUUUGGGGGGAUUAUGUUGUGUGUACAAUUUGGUACCUUCUUAACUUUUAAAAAUAUGUUGUUUUAGUUCAUAUUACUAAAGUAAAUUAUGUUCAAAAGAAAACAUGGAAAGUACAGAAAAAUAGAAAGAAAAAACAUCACCCCGAAUGCCAGUACCAAGGAAUAAACACUAUUAAACAAAUUGUAUGUCUGUAUUUGUCUUAAAAUAACACCAUACCUCAUUUUGUAACCCACAUUUUGUAUUUAACCAUGUAUAAUGGGCAUUUUCUUAUGUCAAAUAAAAAUCUUUAUGAUUUUUAGAGUCUGC
rnacentral:lncRNA from 1 species